rnacentral:rRNA from 1 species
ACGUUUCGAAAGGAACGCUAAUACCGCAUACGUCCUACGGGAGAAAGUGGGGGAUCUUCGGACCUYGCGCUAUCAGAUGAGCCUAGGUCGGAUUAGCUAGUUGGUGAGGUAAUGGCUCACCAAGGCGACGAUCCGUAACUGGUCUGAGAGGAUGAUCAGUCACACUGGAACUGAGACACGGUCCAGACUCCUACGGGAGGCAGCAGUGGGGAAUAUUGGACAAUGGGCGAAAGCCUGAUCCAGCCAUGCCGCGUGUGUGAAGAAGGUCUUCGGAUUGUAAAGCACUUUAAGUUGGGAGGAAGGGCAUUAASYUAAUACCUUGSUGUUUUGACGUUACCRACAGAAUAAGCACCGGCUAACUYYGUGCCAGCAGCCGCGGUAAUACAAAGGGUGCAAGCGUUAAUCGGAAUUACUGGGCGUAAAGCGCGCGUAGGUG